ACUGGGCUCAGUAACGAGGGCCUGUAACCCAGGUGGGAGUACUAAGAUGGUGGGAGAUUAUUAUAACAUGAAGAGUCAAAUGAACGGAUAUUUGGGGUUAGUAAGGUCUAAUAUGAGGGCCAGUCCAAAUACCACUCUGGUAGAGUUUAAAACCCUCUACCCGUUUGGGUAUUCUCUCAACUGACUUAACAGAGCAGUUGUAGCAGGAGUUCACUAUCUUUGGUGGCAUUAAGGUGGAUCUCAUAUUAGACAUCUAUCCUCCAAAUACCUUAUAAUAAUACCAACCAUUAUCUUU
rnacentral:SRP_RNA from 1 species